AGACAUCGAGUAUUGGUAGUAUAGACAUUUUUACUUCACAAGAGAGAAAAAAAGAAAGAAAUGCCAGCAGAGAAUCUUCUCUAAAAGAUUUGUCCACAAGAACUUCAAAUGUGGAGAGAAAAUCUUCUCAGUCACAGCGGAAUCGGAGCAAUGUCACAGGAGGAAAAGUCCCUCACAUACGAAUGGACAAUGGAGCGAGCAUUGAGGUAUGUGGGGAG
rnacentral:lncRNA from 1 species